rnacentral:rRNA from 1 species
CCAGCACCUGCGGUAAUUCCAGCUCCAAUAGCGUAUAUUAAAGUUGUUGCAGUUAAAAAGCUCGUAGUUGGAUCUCAGGACGCGGACGGAUGGUUCACCUUUUGGUGCGACUGUCUGUCUGGCCUAACAUAGCUGAGGAUGGUUUGGGUGCUCUUAACUGGGUGCUCUUACUGCCCGGCGCAAUUACUUUGAAAAAAUCAGAGUGCUUAAAGCAAGCAUAUGCUUGAAUGGUGAUGCAUGGAAUAAUAGAAUAGGAGUUCGCUUCUAUUUUGUUGGUUUUUGGAGUUGAACUAAUGAUUAACAGGGACAGACAGGGGCAUUAGUAUGGACGGGGGAGAGGUGAAAUUCUUGGAUCCUGUCCAGACUACCUACUGCGAAAGCAUUUGCCAGGAAUGUUUUC